CGUUUUUUCAUUUCUUUUGGGAAGAGGGAGAGGAGAGUCAGGGGGGAAGGGGGAUGAGUGACUAAGUGAGAUAAAUGUACUAAUUGUCCCCGGUCUCCAUGUAAAUAGCAAUGUAACUGGCACCGAGUCACGUGCACGCUCUCUCAUGAAAAUAUGAAGCCAAAGUUCAUUCGAUUGUUUGAUUUUAUGACCAGUAAGAUGUUAACAUCAUGCAUUUUAUUAUUAGCCUACUUUUACAGAUUAGAAGCCAUCCACAGUAACAAGAAUGGCCAUGCAUGCCUCCAUGAUGACGCUGAUGGGAACACUGAAGAAUUUACAGAUGGCAACUGCAUGCUGGACAUCGUGCCAGACACUGGGCUGCAAAGACAGGCCAGGAUUCAUCUCUAA
rnacentral:lncRNA from 1 species